rnacentral:ncRNA from 1 species
UAAAAAAAACUAAUUAUUAAAAACAAAUAUAAAGUUAGUUCUAGCUAUUAUAUUUAUUAUAUGUAUAUAUAUAUAAAUAAUUUAUUGAGAUAAAGAUUUAAAAAAUUUAAUUAUUAAAUAAUAUAUAAUUUUAACAAAUAAAGAAAUUUAAUUUUAGUAAUUUUAUAAAAAUUAAUAAAUUUAGUGCCAGCAAUUGCGGUUAUACUAAAAAAUUUAAUUAAAUAUAAUACAUAAAUUUAUUAAUUAAUAUAAUUAAAAAUUAAUUUAAAAAUUAAUUAAGUAAAAUUUUUAAUUUUUUUAUAAUUUUUUUAUUUUAUAAAAAAAAUGAAGUAACUUAAAUUAAUCAUUAAACUAGAAUUAGAUACUCUAUUAUUUUAAAUGAAAAUAUUUUUAAAAUAAGGUAUUAAAAGUUAUAAUCUUUAAACUUAAAGAAUUUGGCAGUAUUUUAAUUUAAUUAGAGGAAUCUGUUAAUUAAUUGAUAUUCCACAAUUAAUUUUACUUAAUUUAUUAAAUUUAUAUAUCGUUGUUAUAAAAAUUUUUUUAGAAAAUUAAAAUUUUAAUUUUUUUAUAAAAAAUUAUAUCAAAUCAAGAUGUAGUUGAUAAUUAAGAAUUUAAUGGAUUAUACAUAAAAAAAUUUUUGAAUAAUUUUAUGAAAUAAAAUUUGAAAAGAGAUUUAAAAGUAAUUUAAUUUAAUUUGAUUAAAUGAUUAAAUUUUAAAAUAUGUACAUAUUGCCCGUCACUUUCAUUAUAAAUUGAAAUAAGUCGUAACAAAGUAGAAGUACUGGAAAGUGUUUCUAGAAUUAA